GUAUGCCUUAUUUUUUAAAAAAACCUAAUUAUACAGCAUACAUUAGUAAUCACUUGCUAAAAAUAUAGCAGCAGUUAUUAUAAGCAAGAAUUAUAUGCAGCUCCUUGCUAUGAGAUUAGUAACAAUAUCUCUAGGAAUAAUAAAAACGGAAAUUCAGUCAUGGGAAAUCUGCCAAGAUAUGGUGGUUUCCUUCUAAAAAAUAAAAGCCGUGGAUGUUGAAAUGAGAUUAAACUUGCAGCCAAGUACUCCCAUACUCUGAUUUGCUCAAUAUUUCCAGGAGCUCCUUCCUUAAAACAUUGAUUCGCAGGUCAACUAUGAUAAAAAAUUUACAGGUUAGCCUAUGCCCUAAUUACAUUUUUAUAAUUUAGAGGAAAACAACUGGUUGACUUUUGUUUAUGUAACAGACACUUUAAGGGAAAUCGAUUGUUUCUGUGACCAUUAAGCAUCAAACACUUCUCCCAUCAGUCAUACUCUUAAUUUCCCAACAACGACACUGCAGAAACCCUCUACAGGGAUGUUACUUAUAGUCAACACUAAAACAUGGCCUUAAUAGACAAAUCACACUUUGACAGGUCUAAACAUUCAGUUCUAGCAUCUGCAUCUCAAAUACCACAAACUCCCACAUGAAAAGAGUAGUCUUGUGAGACUAUAGUGUUGGUAAUCACAAGUCCUAGGUUUAACUUCCUCGAACUAUAAUGCACAGCCAAGCCGUUUGCAGGUGGUUGGCUCAUCCUUAGCUAUUACUGCUAUACUGGUGUUGAGUGAACUGUUUUAUGGUGCAGCUUGCAUUUCCCAUUUCUCCUUUUCAUUUGCCUUAUUUUCAUUAAUUACAACUCAUUUUUCCUUUUCUCCUUGUCUUCUUCAAGGAAAGUCAGCACUUCCCCAUCAAAGAAUUGCUACUGGUGCAGAGAACUGUUUUGUGGCACAACUUUCACUUACCCCCUCUACUUUCCCAUUUCCUCAUUUCUGUAAAUUAACUUUUUUUUAGCCAACAGGACCGCUCAUAUUAGGAAAGGCAAAAUAACAUCAUUCUCUGAUCCAAUCCACAUGGAUCAACCAAUGAAGUGAUAUAUUCUCCUAUACCAAAUUUCCAAUGUUGCACCUUUUUUUUUUUAAUCUCAUAUCAUAUUUCUCAAGUUACAAUCUGAUUUGGUGGAUUUGAAUAAGAACUGAUA
rnacentral:misc_RNA from 1 species